CAAACGGCCCUUUUCAGGGCCACCACAUUUUCAAGUUAAGAGAUCA
rfam:Daphnia magna strain Xinb3 scaffold01581, whole genome shotgun sequence.